rnacentral:lncRNA from 1 species
UUGUCAGAAACGUGUCGUAGUUUGAGAACACAAAUCUGCCCUGAAGUGGAGAAAUCCGGCGCUGUGGUAUGUAUAGUACACAGUAUGGCUUUCUAUCGGAAGAAACAAGUGCACUUGUGGUUUUCCUAACUGAUGACUUCUGUGAUUUCCACAGUUUCAGUGAAUCAGCUGCUACCAAUCAUUCACACUUUUCUUGGAAAAUCACUGUUGGAUUUGAAAGGCAUGCAUAGGUGGAAUAUUCUAAAAAUCGUUCUCCACUGUCUGUUGUUUGAUUGGUGUCGAUUCACAAAAUUAAGUCUUAAUUUUUCCUAAGGAAGAUUUGUACUUAAUUAUUGAAAUGAAAAGGAUUUCAUAAAUUUUUAAGCCAUAAUAAGUAGAAUUAAAGUAGAAUUAAUUUUCCUAAUAAAUUAUGCUUUGCUAUUCAUUGUAGUAAAAAUGCUGCAUGAUGACAAUUUUUUUUGUAGAAUAUUCAUGUUUUCACCAAUCCCUUUUUGUUUUUCUUCUAAUGUUUCAGGGGAUGACACUACAUAAAAAGGCGGCUGAAGACAGACUAGCUAGCACAGGUUCAGGGCAGUCGUUUCUGGCUAGGCAAAGACAAGCAACCAGCACAAGAAGAUCCUACCCAGGCCAUGUCCAGCCAGCCACAGCCAGGUAGAAAGGUCUUGUCCGGGGAGUUUUUAAAAAGCAUACUUCUGUUACACAUGACAACAUUUCAGGAAAUUCAGCCAGCUUGUUUAAUUUCUCACCUGUGUUAAUACUUAGUGUUUCUCACGUGAAGAUUUCUCUCUCUCGUAUCUUUUAGUUACUUUGUCCUUUACUUUAUGGUCUUUUCAGUUCCUUUUAAUGUGCCAAAAAUUUGUAAAUGUACAAUUAAAAGUGUUGUAUAAUAGUGUAAUACUUUUUCUUUGUAUGAAAAUGUCUUCUUCCCCAUUUGUGUGGGCUUUGUAAAGAAUUGGAUUUUCUGCCAAUAAUUGAUACACAAUUUAUAUUCUUUAUCGUGCCUACUGUGUUACCAUACUUUAUAAGAAUGUCUUUGUUUAAAGGGAAUUAAUCUUUUUAUGGUGUAUUAAUCUGUGUUUUCGAUUGUUUUCCAAUGCACUUCAGAUAACUUAAAUAUUUACUGUACUAUACGAAGUGAUGUCAGAUGCACGUUUUGCAAAGACAAAUACAUUGGCAGAGGUGCUAGUCAGCCUGGGGCACCUGGCAAGGUCACUCAGAGGGGAGGAAUUAAACUUAUUCUAAGUUCAAUUAUAUUGGAGUUAUUAUGUGAAAUUUCAUUCUUUCCUGCUGUAUUGUUUGCUGGCAGAAGUGAAAUUGGUAAAGAUAUAUGGGUAGAAAUUACAGAGGAUAAGAACUUGGCAGGAUUUUUUUUUUCCUUCCUUUGGAAUGUCAUAGUAGCUAAGAAUCAGAUUCUAGCCAUGCACUUUUAAUUGCUCUCCACAUGUAAAGGAUUUAUUUUCAUAUAGGUAGCCUUAUCUUUGGGGCAGUUCUUUGACUAUGCCUCAUAUGUUUUAUAUAUUCUGUGAGCCUUUCCUUUUCUUAAUUAAUCGUGAUAGCUAACAUCUUAAUGCAACUCAUUAGCACCAGUACCUGACUCUGUGUGCAAUGUUAUGACAGAGCUCUCUGUAGUUUUCCUUAGCUCUACCUACAAGUCCAAGAAUUGGUAACAUGAGAGAUUUUCUUGGGUAUUUGGUUGUUAAAAGUGCUUACAUUGUAUGCCAGACUUACUGACGUAGAUGAAUGUCUGUUAAGCAAUCAUGUGAAGUACUUUGUCUAUAUAAGUAAUUAUAUAAUUUUAAACUGUCAUUUAUUUGAAAAUAAUCUACUUUUGUCUUUUUCUAUAUUGAUUUGUGAAUUUGAUCCCAAAUUAUAUUGAAGGUUUCCUCCAGCCUUUCUCUUGUUCCAUACACCAUAUUUUUGAAAAGAAAAAAAAAUCUGAGAUUAGGUC